GACGAACGCUGGCGGUGUGCUUCACACAUGCAAGUCGAACGAGGUAGCAAUACCUAGUGGCGGACGGGUGAGUAACGCGUGGGAAUCUGCCUUUAGAUGGGGGAUAACGAGCCGAAAGGUUCGCUAAUACCGCAUAGGUCGCAAGAUUAAAGGAGUAAUCCGUCUAGAGAUGAGCCCGCGUCCGAUUAGCUAGUUGGUAGGGUAAAGGCCUACCAAGGCGACGAUCGGUAGCUGGUCUGAGAGGAUGAUCAGACCACAAUGGGACUGAGACACGGCCCAUACUCCUACGGGAGGCAGCAGUGGGGAAUUUUACGUCAAUGGGCGAAAGCCUGACGUAGCGACACCGCGUGAGCGAAGAAGCCCUUUGGGGUGUAAAGCUCUGUCGGCUGGAAC
rnacentral:rRNA from 1 species